AGCUUUGCGCAGUGGCAGUAUCGUAGCCAAUGAGGUUUAUCCGAGGCGCGAUUAUUGCUAAUUGAAAGAAAUCCCUG
rnacentral:snRNA from 1 species